rnacentral:lncRNA from 1 species
GCUCGGCCAGAAACGCUUGAGAGAACCGUGGAGGGUACCUGGGAACUGGGACCAAGAGAUAUACUGGCUUCCUAUCUUUCCGCAGAUUGGCAGAAUCAGGAUGAAAAUGCUGUCUAAGAUUAAGUACUACUUUCUAGCUUAAAGUGAUCAGAGAGCAUAUUAUGUUUCCAGUGGAGUUCAGAAGGCUUUAUUUCCUCCUUUUCCUGACCAGUAUCGCAGGAGCCCAGGGACUCGGUAGAAGGUGACCUCCGCACUUGUGUUUCCCUUCUGAAGACCCAAAGUCACACGCUCUCAGAAGAAGAGAGGAAUAUGCUGAAGUAGUGCCAAGAAGUCAAGACCUUUAUUUAUUUUUAAGUUAUUUGAGCACCUUACAUGUACUGUACUAGAG